UUGACGUACUCCUUUUCCUAUUUGGAACUAGUCUGUUGUUCCAUGUCCAUAGGCCCUCUAUAAUCUCACACCUGGCCACAACUCUGAAUCUAAACUAUGACAUUCAGCUGUACUCAUUCUACUUCACCAACAAAGAGUUUGUUUCUGCUCAGUUCAGCUUCUUUUCUCUCUGUUCCUUUUGCAUGGAUGUUUUUUACUCAUAUACUCUUUCAGCUUAAGCCCUCAUGCUAAGUCUAUGCAUUUGCAACCUCUGUUUCUAUAACAUCCCUGCUAUUCUCUAUCUCAUGACUUUAAUUUUUUCUUAACAUUUAUCAUCAUCUUACUGCAUACCUGUUUUUUUCUAUAUUUUCACUGUUUCUUCUCCAAGAAAAUAUAAGCUACGUCAGAGCAGGAGCUUUGUCUGCUCAGAGGGGGAGCUUUAUCUUCUUAGCACAAAACCUGGAACAAAGAUUGGUCUAUUGUAGGCACUGAAUGAAUUUAAUGAAUUGAAUAAGUGAAUGAAUUAACCGAGUGAAUAACUGAGUGAAUGGCAUAGUUGCAGUGCAAUCUUCAAAGUGGAUACAAAACAAGAUAGCUUACUUACAUUACCAAUCACACUCCUACUUUCAGCUUUAAUUUCAGUACAUUAAUGUUACUCAGAAAACCUGCCUGUUUUACAGAAACAGUCUACUCUUACUGAUAUAAAGAAUCCUAAGUGGAAUUGACAAAAGUGGGAGUGAGAAGAAUCUGUCCUUCAUACUGAAAGUGUUGCUUAGCAUUCCUUACAUGCACUAUUUAGAAAUAUGCCUUGUAAUAGGGCUAGCAUAAGUACGUUCCAUAAAAAUAGAGAUGAAAGAAGAAACACUUUGCUUUUAUUUAUAGAAACUCAGAUGUCCUUGCUAUACAGAGGAGCUCAGUAAAUAUUUCUUCAAAGCAUGAAUACAAUAGAAUAUGUAAUAAUUUAGAACAUUUAACUUGUCUUUAAAAACAAUAUUCUCCAUGGAUCUUUUUGUAGCAAUAAUACAUCAAAUACAGUCUGUUACC
rnacentral:lncRNA from 1 species